GUGCCAGCAGCCGCGGUAAUACCAGCUCCGCGAGUGGUCUGGGCUUUUAUUGGGCCUAAAGCGCCCGUAGCCGGCCUGGUAAGUUCGUGUCUAAAUACCGAGGCUCAACCUCGGAAAUGGUGCGAAUACUACCAGGCUAGGGGGCGAGAGAGGCUGGGAGUACUCCUGGAGUAGGGGCGAAAUCCGUAGAUCCCAGGAGGACUACCAGUGGCGAAGGCGCCCAGCUAGAGCGCGCCCGACGGUGAGGGGCGAAAGCCGGGGCAGCAAACCGGAUUAGAUACCCGGGUAGUCCCGGCCGUAAACUAUGCGGACUAUGUGUCAGGUGGGCUUAGGGUCCACCUGGUGCAACAGGGAAGUCCUUUAAGUCCGCCGCCUGGGGAGUACAGCCGCAAGGCCGAAACUUAAAGGAAUUGGCGGGGGAGCACCACAAGGGGUGGAACCUGCGGCUCAAUUGGAGUCAACACCUGGAAUCUCACCGGGGGAGACCGCAGAAUGACGGCCAGGCUGACGACCUUGCCAGACUCGCGGAGAGGAGGCGCAUGGCCGUCGCCAGCUCGUGUUGUGAAAUGUCCGGUUAAGUCCGGCAACGAGCGAGACCCCCACCCCUAGUUGCUACUCUGGCCUCCGGGCUGGAGGCACACUAGGGGGACUGCCGGCGUUUAAGCCGGAGGAAGGAGGGGGCCACGGCAGGUCAGCAUGCCCCGAAACUCCCGGGCCGCACGCGGGUUACAAUGGUAGGGACAGCGGGAAUCCAAACCCGAAAGGGGGAGGCAAUCCCUUAAACCCUGCCUCAGUUGGGAUCGAGGGCUGAAACUCGCCCUCGUGAACGAGGAAUCCUUAGUAACCGCACGUCAACAACGUGCGGUGAAUACGUCCCUGCUCCUUGCACACACCGCCCGUCACUCCACCCGAGCGGGGGAGGGGUGAGGCUCUCUGCUUCGGUGGGGAGUCGAACUUCUUUCCUGCAAGGGGGGAGAAGUCGUAACAAGGUAGCCGUAGGGGAACCUGCGGCUGGAUCACCUCCUU
rnacentral:rRNA from 1 species